rnacentral:misc_RNA from 1 species
AUUCUCUUAAAUGAAGAUGAAUCCAGAACUGCAAUUUUUUUUUUUUUUUUGUAUAUUUCUUCACGAAUUUGAAGCUCUAGGGUUAGGGUUUCCUGAAAAUUAGACCUUUUUCUAUUAAAAAAAAUUAUAUAUUGGGUAAAGUGAAAGAUCUCAUUUUUUUUUUCCUUGGUUGCCUGUAAAUUUGAACUAUACUUUUCCUUUUACAUUUUAGCGAUCUGCUCUAUCAUUGAAGGAGAAUUAUUUUCCUGAGGUAUAAACCUUUUUUUUUUAAUUUUGGAUUUAAGAUAUGCUUAUUAAAUAUCAAAAAACUGGGGAUGUCAGGGAAAAGAAAAAAGGUUAUUCGUUCUAUUUGGCAAAAUUUUGGAAAUGGUUAUUUGGGCGCUGUUCUUUUGUUGACAGGCUGCCCCUUUAAUGGUCAAGUUUUUUAUUUUCACCAAAUUACCCUUAACAGAAGGGGUGUCCUUAAGGUGGGCCGCUCAAAUCACUGACCACUUCCCUGCAUAGUAAUAAUAAUUGUUGGAGAAAAUUAAAUAACAAAUAACACGUUAAAGUUUAUGAAUUCGGUGGUGUGAUCUUGAAGAUGCAUCAUAUAUGCAUUUUGAAGACUAAAAUGCAAUAAUACAGACUCUUUAGGUAUACACUUGGAAUGGGGCUUUGACUCAGGGAGUCUAUACCCAUUAAUCGUCUUUGAAGUGGUAGAUUUUGGGAAUUGUUUGCCCUGGGGUUUGGAUUCAUAUAUAUUAAUUAUGGAAGUGUUAACAUUGUUUUGUUUCAUGUGCAAAUGAUUGAUUGAUUGAAUUUUUUCCCUCUUGAGCAAGGAUGGUUAAUAGUUUUCAUGGUUUUAUC